rnacentral:rRNA from 1 species
GAUCUCCUACGGGGGGCAGCAGUAGGGAAUUUUCGUCAAUGGGCGCAAGCCUGAACGAGCAAUGCCGCGUGAACGAGGAAGGUCUUCGGAUCGUAAAGUUCUGUUGAAGGGGAAAAAGAGCGGAGAGAGGAAAUGGUCUCCGAUUUAUAUUACCCUUCGAGGCAGUCACGGCUAACUACGUGCCAGCAGCCGCGGUAAUACGUAGGUGGCGAGCGUUAUCCGGAAUGAUUGGGCGUGAAGGGUGCGUAGGCGGCCUGCUAAGUCUGGAGUGAACGGUACCGGCUCAACCGGUACAGG